GCGAGUGAAGAGGGAAAAGCUCAAAGUUGGAACCUGGUAGGCAUAGCUUACCCGGAUUGUAAACUAAAGUUUUCGAGUCGUUUAGUCAGCCAGGUAAAUAAGUCCUCUGGAAAGGGGCGACAUAGAGGGUGAAAUCCCCGUCUUUGGCCUGAGUUUUGAUUAGGCGUUUGGCUUGGAAACGAAGAGUCAGGUUGUUUGGGAAUGCAGCCUAAAAUGGGAGGUAAAUCUCUCCUAAAGCUAAAUAUUGACGAAAGACCGAUAGCGAACAAGUACCGUGAGGGAAAGAUGAAAAGCACUUUGAAAAGAGGGUCAAAAAGUACGUGAAAUUGCUGAAAGGGAACCGUAUGAAAUCAGAUCUACUGGUAGGUAAUCAAUCUUUCCUUUGGGAAGGAUGCACUUGCCUACUAUGUAUGCCAGCGACAUUUUGGUUGGGAGGAAAAAAAUAAAGGAAAUGUAGCUUAGGUUUCGGCUUAGGUGUUAUAGUCCUUUAUAAAAUACUCUCGGCUGGAAUGAGGAACGCAGCAAACCGUAAGGCGAAGAUUUCAGGCGCUUAGAGGGAAUAAUUAGAGAAUUUCUGCUUCGGGUGGUGCUUUGAUUAUUACCUUUAACACGCUUGGAGUUCUUUUAAUUU
rnacentral:rRNA from 1 species